rnacentral:rRNA from 1 species
AUUGAACGCUGGCGGCAGGCCUAACACAUGCAAGUCGAACGGUAACAGGAAGAAGCUUGCUUCUUUGCUGACGGGUGGCGGACGGGUGAGUAAUGUCUGGGAAACUGCCUGAUGGAGGGGGAUAACUACUGGAAACGGUAGCUAAUACCGCAUAACGUCGCAAGACCAAAGAGGGGGACCUUCGGGCCUCUUGCCAUCGGAUGUGCCCAGAUGGGAUUAGCUAGUAGGUGGGGUAACGGCUCACCUAGGCGACGAUCCCUAGCUGGUCUGAGAGGAUGACCAGCCACACUGGAACUGAGACACGGUCCAGACUCCUACGGGAGGCAGCAGUGGGGAAUAUUGCACAAUGGGCGCAAGCCUGAUGCAGCCAUGCCGCGUGUAUGAAGAAGGCCUUCGGGUUGUAAAGUACUUUCAGCGGGGAGGAAGGGAGUAAAGUUAAUACCCUUGCUCAUUGACGUUACCCGCAGAAGAAGCACCGGCUAACUCCGUG